GACGAACGCUGGCGGCGUGCUUAACACAUGCAAGUCGAACGGUGAAGCGCCUUCCUUUUUGGUGGGUGUGGAUGAGUGGCGAACGGGUGAGUAACACGUGAGUAACCUGCCCCCUUCUUCUGGAUAACCGCAUGAAAGUGUGGCUAAUACGGGAUAUUCUGGGUCUGUCGCAUGAUGGGUCUGGGAAAGAUAUUGUUUCGGUGGGGGUUGGGCUCGCGGCCUAUCAGCUUGUUGGUGGGGUGAUGGCCUACCAAGGCGGUGACGGGUAGCCGGCCUGAGAGGGUGGACGGUCACACUGGGACUGAGACACGGCCCAGACUCCUACGGGAGGCAGCAGUGGGGAAUAUUGCACAAUGGGCGCAAGCCUGAUGCAGCGACGCCGCGUGAGGGAUGGAGGCCUUCGGGUUGUGAACCUCUUUCGCCAGUAAAGCAGGCCUGCCUCGUUUGUGGGUGGGUUGACGGUAGCUGGAUAAGAAGCGCCGGCUAACUACGUG
rnacentral:rRNA from 1 species